GACGAACUGUCCUAACGUUGUUCGGAAUCACUGGGCUUAAAGGGCGCGUAGGCGGUCCGACAAGUCAGGGGUGAAAUCCUGCAGCUUAACUGCAGAAGUGCCUUUGAUACUGUCGGUCUUGAGGGAGAUAGGGGUGUGCGGAACUCACAGUGGAGCGGUGAAAUGCGUUGAUAUUGUGAGGAACGCCGGAGGCGAAAGCGGCGCACUGGAUCUCUUCUGACGCUGAGGCGCGAAAGCUAGGGGAGCAACCGGG
rnacentral:rRNA from 1 species